GAGAGAGAAAAGUUAGGUUUCGAUGUGAAUAUAGCUAAUUAGUGAAGCAAAAGAAGAAAAAUAAAGAAACAUGUUUGAUGGUGGAGUACCGGAACAGAUCGACCAGUUCAUAGCAUCUCCACAGCCACCUCCUCUGCUUCCGCCGCAUCAACCGGCGACUGAAAGAUCACUUCCUUUUCCUGUCUCAUUCGCUUCCUUUAACUCAAACCAUCAAGCCCAGCAUAUGUUGAGCCUCGAUAGCGGCAAGAUCAUUCAUCAUCAGCAUCACCAUGGCAUCAAAGAUGGUGGUGUUUCUUCUGAGUGGAUAGGUCAUACGGAUCAUGAUGGCCAUAAUCAUCGUCACUUUCAUCAUCCAUGGUGUAGUGAUGAAGUUCUUGCUCUUCUUAGGUUCAGAUCUACGGUGGAGAAUUGGUUCCCUGAAUUUACUUGGGAGCUCACUUCAAGGUAAUACAUUUUCACACACACUCAUACACAUAUGAAAUAUACUUCUAUAUAUAUAUGCACAACCAAUAUUUAUAUAUUUCCAUAUAUGCAUAUGGACAUGGACAUUAAUCUCUUUAGUCUUUUCUUACAUUAGUUUGAUUACAAAUUUUAAAAUCUGCGCUCAAUUACAAGUGAGAAUUCCGGUUACGCAAUAUGAUGAUUUGAUAGGCUACAGAUCUUGUUUUUUGUCGAACAAUCACUUUUGGAAAAUUUAAUUUUAAUGAUGGCAAAUGAUUGGCCACGUAUACGUAUUUAUACAUAAUUGGCAUUUCUCGAGAAGUUUUAUUAUACAAUGAACUGAAACAUGAACUUAAUGGAUAUAUCAUAUAGGGAAAAAAACUUCAAAUGGUUAUAUGCUUGUAUAUUUUUGGUAUGUGUGUAUAUUUGCAUAAUUAAUGAUGCUAUGUCGUUUAUGGAAUUAUGAUGGCUGUAUAGAAAGUUGGCAGAAGUUGGGUUUAAGAGGAGUCCACAAGAAUGCAAAGAGAAAUUCGAAGAAGAAGAGAGAAGAUAUUUUAAUAGUAACAACAAUACUAAUGAUCAUCACAUCAGUAACUACAACAACAAAGGAAAUUAUAGGAUGUUUAGUGAGGUUGAAGAGUUUUAUCAUCAUGGUCAUAAUGAUGAUGAGCAUGUCUCAUCAGAAGUUGGGGAUAACCAAAACAAGAGGAACAAUUCGCUAGAGGGAAAAGAAAACGUUGAGGAAAUGGGACAUAACUUAUUGGAAGAGGGCAAAAUAGAUCAUCAGGGUCAGAGUCAAGUAGAAGAAUCAUCAAUGGGGAAUAAAAUAAACCCCGUCGAUAAUGUUAGAAACGAAGAUGGUGCAAAGUCAUCAUCAUCAUCAAGCUUGAUGAUGAUCAUGAGGGACAAGAAGAAGAGGAAGAGGAAGAAAAAGGAGAGGUUUGGUGUGUUGAAAGGGUUUUGUGAGGGACUUGUGAGGAACAUGAUAGUCCAACAAGAGGAGAUGCAUAAGAAGCUUCUUGAAGAUAUGGUGAAGAAGGAAGAAGAAAAAAUGGCUAGAGAGGAAGCUUGGAAGAAGCAAGAGAUGGAGAGGCUUAACAAAGAGGUAGAGAUUAGAGCAAACGAACAAGCUAUGGCUAGUGAUAGAAACACCAGCAUCAUCAAGUUCAUAUGCAAGUUCACAGGCCAUGAUAACCAUGAUGAUGGAAAUGGUACGGUUCAGAGUCCAAGCCCUUCUCAAGACUCAUCUUCCUUAGUUCUACCAAAAACCCAAGGCAGAAGAAAGUGUCAAACUUCAUCAUCACUAUUACCUCAAGCCCUAACUCCACAUAACCCUAUUUCUCUUCAAACCAAUGACAUACCACUUGAGCCCAUUUCAACUGAAACCCUAAAAACCAAAACCCAAAACAGAAAACCUCCACUAAGUGAUGAAAAGAGUGACACUGGCAAGAGAUGGCCUAGGGAUGAGGUGUUAGCUCUUAUCAACAUCAGACGCAGCAUCAGUAGCAUAAAUGAUGAUGAUCAUCAUAAAGGUGGGAUCUCAUUAUCAUCAUCAUCCUCUAGAGCUGUUCCUUUGUGGGAAAGAAUAUCCAAGAAAAUGGUGGAGAGUGGGUACAAGAGAAGUGCCAAGAGAUGCAAAGAGAAAUGGGAAAACAUCAACAAAUAUUUUAAGAAGACAAAAGAUGUUAACAAGAAGAGACCACUGGACUCAAGGACUUGUCCUUAUUUUCACCAACUUACAGCUUUGUACAGCCAACCCUCCACUGGGACCACCACCACCGCCACCGACACGUCAACCGGAGAACUGGAAACCCGGGUUGGAUCGGGCGAUCCUGAUGAUAUUCCUGCAGUCAUUCAUGUAGAUGCAAAUGGUGCCGGCGAAAAAAGCAAUGUACAAUUUUCAGGUUUCGAUCUUGCGUUACCAUAAACCUCAAUACAAGAAAUAUAAAUAUAUUACUAGUUUAAUUUCUUUUCUUGUUUUUUCCCCUUUAAAACCUCAUUUUUGGUUAUCAUGGAAAAUUUAAAUAAUAUAUGAAUAAUGUCAUUUACUGUUUUGACGCAUCAGUAGAAACGUAUACGCACUAUUUUAGUUGGACAGUACACGUGCACCGACAAACAGUGAAAUUCAGUUGAACUUGAAUAAACUACUGGUUAAAUUAUGGUUAUGGCAUUUUUAUGAACUUCACACAUGUGACGAGAAUCGAGAUCAGGUUUUUCAAUAAGAAAUGUUGUAAGAAAAAGAAACAGUAUACGGUAAUUCUUCAUGGAAACUUCAUUCAAAUCCAUCCUGUACGUUUUUAUUUGGUGACUAAAGGUGGAGAACGAGCUAGAUGAUGGGUGGGGGACAUGAACAUUAAUAUUAAUACAAGUCGUUUCAGUCUUAAUACUGAUUUAAGAUACCAAAGAUUCAGAAAGGAAAUUUGACAGAAUUAUUUGUCUAUUUUAUUUUUUAUUGUCUUAAUUUCACAUGUGAUUUUGUACAGUUUUAGUGUACGUAAUGUUUUGUUAUAUUCUUGUUUUAUAGGAUAACGAUAAAGAUGAUUCUUGUCAUGUUUUUCUUUUCAACUUCUAUUUACAGCACAUAUUUUGAAAAUUUAUCCCAUUUUGAAACCAUUUUGAAAUGUAUUUUCAUUCAGAAUAAUCAUUCUGAUAUAAAAUCGUAGCGAAACUUGUUAUGCUUGUAUUCGCAUAUCCAUUGUAACUGUGGGACAAUAUACCAAAUAUUUGCGAUUGACUUGUUACUUAGUUUAUCAGUAGCUAAUUAGUCUGUAUUUUUUCUCUAAAUAUUGUUACAGUUACAAUAUGUAGCAAAUGUCAUAACAAAGACGCAUAAACUGGUCGAAUUGUAACCGUACGUGAUGAUAAUAUUUCAUAUUAUGAUAAACAUAAAAUAUCGUAUUAUGAUAAACCUACAUCCCAUAAGUUCACAAUAGUUGGAUGUGUUCACAUUUCACAGUUCACACACACUGUAUUACUUAGCUGUACGAUCAGUUGUUCUUUUAUAGAAUAGUACUUGUUAGGAACCUCGAAGCUCAAUGAUAGAGAUGGCACUAUUGCUGUUAGAGGUAUUAGGUAUAUAUAGAAAUAUUCCACUAAAAUGGUAUCAAAGUCGUAUGAUUCAUAUCCUUCCACAACACGUAAUUCACACACCUAACAAAAAAAUUGAAAACAAAUGAAAAACAAUUAUUCUUAAUGCACGACCGACUAAAAGUAUACAAUGAACAGACAACUUCGGGCUUUUUUUUUUUGUUUAGGAUAAGUUUAGUGGUAGUGUAAGAGAUUUUUCUUUUGUGUGUUCUGAGAUCAAAUCCUUUUUUAAACAAAACUUUUUUGGUACAAAUUUUUAAUAAAAAAUUGUUCUGCUAAAAUUAAAAUUUUAAAAUAAUUCUAAACUUUAAAUUAAAGAGAUUAUGGAUUGAAGUUACACAACUGUGAAAAUCUUCAAAGCAAACUUGUUUUUUUUUCCUCCAUGGAAGAGUACUGCAUAGUUAACAUCAUACUGAUUUGAUAAAAAAAAAUAUCAUACUGAUAAGACAUAAAACAUCAUCCGCAUAUACCUUUCUCUGAUAUUUCACCACGUAUUAUUUUCUUUCAGACAUGCAUAUGGUUUUUCACUCGCUUAAAAUAAUGGGAAUAAUAUGUUACAAACACACCUAAAUGAAUGGUUUUGAAGAAAAAAAAAAUCUAAUCACCGUAAAAUUACAUAUAAUACCUUGAUUUUUUUUUUUUGUAAAAAAUAGGGUAAAUAAUUACCUUAAUCUUAUACUCUAGUUAGAUGCACAUUAUACGUAUUUUUGUUAUAGCUUAGUAUAAUUUUAAGACUGCAUAACUUGACUAUCCUGGUUAAAAAAAGAACUGCAACCAGUUGACUACUUAUAAUAUCAAAUAGACAUAAUAAUUCAGAUUUUUAUUCAGGUUCAAGUGUAUUCUUAUCAAUUUAGAUUGUUAAUUAUCUGAAUAAAAAAAAUAAACGGAUCAAGAUUAAUUCGGUUCUAACUUUUUGAUACAUAUAAGAUGUGAUUGGUAGUGGUUAUAGGAUGCUGUCGAUAAUUCUAUUUAUUUUUACAGUACCAAAUUCAUAUCAAUCAAGUUUUGAUGAAAAAUUUAAAUCAUAAUUCUUAAAAUAACAUACAGUUAUACAAGUGUUAUGUAGAACCAAAUAUUCACAUCAAUUUUUCGGGUUUUCUAUAAAAUCUAAAGCCAUAGUAAAUUUUGCAGUAAAAUUUUUAAAGCUACAGAUAUUACCAAUCGGAUCCAAAAAAAACAAUUUCAUGAUUUCUUUUUAGUUUUCCUUAUAUUCAAUAGAGCAAUGUCUACUGUUCACCUUUGAAAGUGAUGAAUUAACCAAUUAUUUAAGAAAACGAUAUACUAUUAUACAAAAAUAUUUCCAGCGUAAAUAUUAAACAAUUAAUAGACAUUAAAUAGAGUCACAAGAUAUAUAUAUAUAUUUAUUUUAUAUUAAAAAGAAAUAAUAAAGUCGAUUUACGUCUCUCACGGUAACUCUGUCGUUUUCCUCACACUCUCAGAGACAGAGAAGAGAGAGAGAGAGAGAGAGAGAAGCAGAGGUCUCAUGGCGAAGCAGCUUCUUUCCCAGCUUCCUCUCCACAGUCACUACUUCCUCCACUACGGUGCCGUUUUGUAGCUUCUUCUCGGAUAAUGCCACAAUCACAUUCCUCCAGUCUCUCACCGACACUUUCAUAGGUUUGCUCCUCUCACUCACCGCUCUCUCCUCCGCAACGGUGCCGUUUUGAACUCAAGAACUCUUUUUUUCUGUGGUGUUUAAUCGAACAUAAAACAUUUGAUUGGUCUUUUCAUUACCUCAAAAUGUGAGCGAGUAGAAGUGUUUUCAGACCAAUUAUUGUAAUAAAGAUUCGAGCUUUAAACAAGACAAAAAAAAAAAACUAUAUUCCGAUAGAGAAUGGUUCCAAUAUUCUGAAUAAAGCGAAUAGAACAAAAAAGGAAAAAUGAUUUUAGCAUUCUAUUUUAUUCUUGUAAUUUGACAUAACUUUCAAUGUUAAAUAUUGUAAUCUGUUAAAGCUUAAUAUAAACCUCGGAUAGAUUAACAAUGUAGACUAAAAUCAGAAAAUACAUGCUUAAUAUAUUAAUAAUAAAAUGAUUUAGCUUAAUAUUAGCCUCUGUGAUAUUUUUUAUUUUAAAAUUUUAUAUUUAUAUCCCUAUAAAUGAAUAAGAUAGCAAUAUAAAAAGAGAGACCAAAUGGAGAGAGAAAAGUUAGGUUUCGAUGUGAAUAUAGCUAAUUAGUGAAGCAAAAGAAGAAAAAUAAAGAAACAUGUUUGAUGGUGGAGUACCGGAACAGAUCGACCAGUUCAUAGCAUCUCCACAGCCACCUCCUCUGCUUCCGCCGCAUCAACCGGCGACUGAGAGAUCACUUCCUUUUCCUGUCUCAUUCGCUUCCUUUAACUCAAACCAUCAAGCCCAGCAUAUGUUGAGCCUCGAUAGCGGC
rnacentral:lncRNA from 1 species